GUAUAUUGUAUUUCACAGUCGCUUUGAACGUGACUGAUCAUCCAAUCAGAUUUUACUCUGGAAUUACCAGUUUAAUUGCAGUCUGAAAAUGUAGAGAUGUAGGUGUGGUUCAAAACCCAUUAAAAUCGGUAUGUGUGCAAGAAUACGUUUUGCUUUGCUGUAAUGGAGACCCCACGAAAUUCUUCAAACAUCAUCUUUCAAGACAACACAGAAAUACAGGCGAGAUUCGUGGCCACGAUUUGUUAAAACAAAUCGAGGAUGCCAAGACUGAACUACAGCUUACUAAAGACGAGGUGGAGCAAGUAAACAAAGUUGUUAACAAAUGCAGAGAGGAGAUGGACCGAAGGAUGAUGAUGAUGGUGCAGAUGGACGAAGGCCUCUGGAAUUCACUGCUUGAACUGGACGCUCUCAUGCAGGAGAAGAAAAGUCUUGCCGGUCAGUUAGAAGAACUCACUUUGUCUAGCACCGUGGAGUCGAAACAAGCUCUUCUGAGAAGUUUGCGGGAGGAGGAAGGCAGCCUGCUGGAGCAGGAGCGUAAUCUGAAGCUCAAACAUGAGCAGCUGAGGAAAGCACUGGCGGAAGCUUCUUCAAACAUAGAGGAAGUUCUAGUUUCACAGGGUGAAAAUCUAGAUAAACCAGGGAUAUCCAGCCAGAGUAAGUCUACUGAAAAGCCAGUGAGAAAAAGAAGAGCACGGAAGUGAACACAACAUCAAAAAAAGCAACAUUUAUUUUUUAUAUUUGCUAAAAUUAGGCUGUAAUAAACAUGUAAAACUAUAGUGACUUUUUCCAUCAUGUAUUUUGUUAUUUCUAACUUCUUUUGUUAUUUCUGUUAUUUCUAAGAAUUUUAAGCAUAGUUAAAAUGUUCAUCGGAGGUCAUUGCUGAAAAGAAGUGUAAUGAUUCAUGAUUCAAAAGAUUGUCCUCUGGCAAUGAUCAAUUCAAACAGAUGUGUUGAAGUUUUCAAAUUUAGCCUGGAGACACCUUCAGAAAGACAGUUCAAAGAAAAAAUAAAAUGUUAAAAUGAAUGUGAAACAGAAGUUGUGAUAGUCUUUUCUUUUCUAUUGUGAUGUAUAUCUGAG